UGUGGCAGUCCAGUCAGCAAGGGGCAUUAUUGGGCAUUUUUCUAAAAUGGGUGUAGUGAGGAUGUGUGUAUUAUGUUAAAAAGGGGUUUAAAGAAUUAAAUAAAACAAAAAACUAAUAAAAAAUGGGAUUGGUCAAGAAAUAGUGGGAUACAUCUAAUUGGCCACCCCAAACCCAUUUGAGCGUGUUUUAAACAACGAUGGAGGGGGAUUUCCGCAACAAAACACCGAAUCACGCGGGGCUGUGGUGGGGCGGCGGCAUUAUCAGGCGUGUUUGAGAGAGAUCACGCCGGAAUAUUUCACCACUACGGGUGAUCUUAGCAUAUUAAUUUUUUUAAGUGGAUAUUUUUUAGAGGCCCUAGGCCCAAGCCUAGGUUAAUAAUACUAUAGGUUGUAUAAGACAAUGCCAUGAAAAAAUCCAUAAUAAAUAAAUAAAUACUAAAAUAGAUGUCAAUAGAUAAUGAAAAAAACCCAUUAUGUUCUUUAUAAGUUUUAAUCUUUUGAAAAUGAUUCAUUACAUCUUCGGUUGAAAUAUUCUUCAAGAAUACCUUUUCAAUGCAUAAAAGGGAAACAUACCUAAAACCACAUGUCGCCAAGUCGGCAGCACAAAGCGGAAGCGGAAACCGUCAAAUGUGUAUUUUGUAAAAGCGAAGGAAAAAUUGUAGGAGCUAGGCUUCCGGUCGAUGAUUAGUGAGUACUGUGAGACUAGAUUGAUAGUCUAAUAGAUGAAUUUAAGUUGGAGCAAUGAUUUUGGUCGAUGGAUAGUCAAAUAGAUGAAUUGUCAUGCUCGCGUGCUCGCUUGUUGGUCAAUGAGUACCAAUUGGUUAGGACUUACGAUUAGAAUUUUAUGUAUUUACUUGUUAUCAAUUAGAAUUUUUAGAAAAAAGAUAGGAUAAUUGGUAUCUAAAGACUUCUUUUUUCUCUUUAUCUCUUUCUACUACAAUUAUCUUUCAUCAUUUCCCUUAGAGCAUUCACAUCAUAUCCACUAAUUUAUGUGAGGGUGGGCUUUAUAUUAUAAAAAAAAGUGAAUGUGGUGGAGGAUAGGGAAAAUGUUAUUGUUCAUCUGUAUAUUUUGGGGGACACUGGUUACCUUCUAUAAUUUUUUAAUAUAUUUUGAAAGUGAUUGUGAGUGGAGAGAUAAAAGGUAACUAUAAAGGUAUAAAAAUACUAUUUAAUUAAAAGAAGACAGAAAAUGUAGUUGUUUUUAGUGUAAUUAUAGGAUAGAUUUGAUAGGGUAAGUCUUAUCCAUCUUCAUAUUAUAUAUUAUAAGUUUAUUUACUUGUUAUGCAUACAUGAUACAUAUAAAAGGUAAUGGCUUGGUCGUCACAACUCUAAGUACUUUUCUGCAUGUUGUUAACUUUAUCAUGAGCGUGGAAAAGGUUAGAUCUGGUCCACACAACUUCAAGGCCCGAUCUCAACAACAAAUCUUCUAACGAUGACCACUUAAACAAAAAUAAACAUAUGGAAAAUAGAUCUUCUACUAUAUGAGAGUUUCAUUACGAAUCAAUCUAUGCUCAAAGUGGAGCAAAGAUUAUUGAAAUUUCAAUAUUGAAGUUGUGUGUUUAAAGCACACAAAGGUGCGAAAAUGAGAAGGGGAAAGAAUGGAAUGGGAGGUAAUUGUCCCACAUAGAAGGAGAGAAAACCUUGGAGUUACAUGUUUAUAUUUGAAACCUUGCCUUAGAUAUUCUUAGACACAAUAACUAGUGGGGUGCCUAAGGUUCACACCCCUUACUCGCACAUAUGCGGGUGACGUGCACACAAUGUGACACUUUGACGUCGCAGUACCGGGCAUGCUCGCAUCGUCACGUGUCGCUUAAGAGGUGCCUUUGUUAACGGCUUCGUGCUAAACUCAAUUACUAUUGAGGAGUAUUUCCCAUUGGAUUGCGAGUUACUACUGAACUUAUUUUUAGCGAUUUGUUAGUACUAAGAUCAGUUACUUCAUACUGAGCAUUUGAAACAUAAGCACAUUAGUUUUAAUCUUAGUGAAACAAACCACAAAAAUUACUUUGAAGACGUUGAAUACAAUUUUUUUUGUUUAAUACAGAUCAUAUGAUUGAACUAUCUUGAUUUUUGUAUUGAGUAUAAGGGUUGAGAUCCUGUACAAACAGUGCUAAUUAUAAGAACCGUAAGAACAGAUCUGAACCAUUGUUAAUUUAAAUCAAGGGUUGAUAUUGAUUAUAAAUAAAACUCUUAUAAUUAAAAAUUACUACUAACAAAUUAGGGGUAAUUUUGUAAAAUUGCUAGUCAUUUGACCAUUUUCUAUUAAAUACAAAUUCCACCAAGGUUUUUUAAACUAAAAUAACUUUUAUAUACUUCAUUAUUUUUUUUUAAAAAUAUAUACCAUAAAAUCAAGUAUUUUUUUAUCUUUAAUAUGAGUACCAUAUUGCUAUACCUUUUUGUAUUUAUAAAAGUGUUUUUUAAAAAAAGUUAACAAAAUGUGUUUUAUAUUUGUGCUAAUAAGGUGCUGAUUAUGUGUUAAUUACAAAAUAAUACAAACAAACACCAAAAGUAGAUAUAAUCAGCACAUCUGGUGUGCUGAUAAUGGAGAACGAUUGAAGAUGUUGUGCUAAUGUCGUUUAUGUUGAUAAUGGAGAACGAUUCGAGGACGAUGUGCUGAUAAUGAAGAACGAUUAAUGAUGUUGUGCUAAUUAUAUAGUGUUGUGCUGAUUAUAUUUUUUGUAAUUAUUUUUAAUUAGUUAUAAAUAAAUAUGGUCAAAAAGUCUAAAUUACCCCUAAACUAAUUUUUUAUUGAUGGACACUUGUCAAUUAUGUAUUGGUUCUUAUGGUUCUUACAAACUUAAGUGUUUGUAUUUGAUCCCAUUCCUUGAGUAUAAAACCAAGGUGUUACCUUAGUUUGUGAGACACCUAAUAUACUCAUAGAAUUCACAAAAACGUAACUUUUUUUUUUCAACAAUCAAGGUUAUUUGUUGCUAUCAGUUCAAGAUAAAACUUUGAGUGCAAUAGUCUUCUUUGACACUACGCACUGCUUUAGUUGUUAUAUACUGAAAACAUAUGAGUUUUCUUUCAUUUAAGUUGUAAAAUAUUGUAAUUUAUUGCUUUUCUUUCAUUUUUUUAUAUUGUAUUUUCAAUAAAAUACGUUUAAUUAUAUUAUUAUUCUAUAAACGGUUCUUAAUUUGAUAAGACGUGCCUACAAUUGUGACAAGAAUACCAAAGACAUAAUUAAAUAAUGCUGUAAUCAUUUUCAAGCUUCCUAAGUAUGAAAAUAUAUGUGGCUUACAACAAAUUAUCAUAUAAGUUAAUUAAAAAAAAUAUAUAUGCCUUACAAAAAGGUUUAUUAAUAUUAGAAGAAAUAUAGCUUUCUCAAUGAAUCUCUUCAUAUUUGAAUCAUUUCUUUCCUAAUUCUGUCCAAACUUUAAAUUUGAUGAAAUAGAAAUGGAAAUGUAUAGCACAAUAUCGUAAAUUUGACUUUAUGGUUUGAAAAGGAAAGUACAAAUUCAAUAACUGUUUUCAACGUAUAGGAAACAAAUACAUCUCUCCAUCUCGGGUAAAGAGUUGUUACAAUCGAGUCAGAAGAUGCAGGUUCCAAGCAGUGGCGAAGCUUGAAAUUUUCGACAGGGGGUCGAAAACAUAUAUACCAAAAAAUUUCUAUGCGAAAGCUAUAUACAUAAUACUACUGAGCGAAAAGUUCGGGGGGUCGGGCGCCCCCCGGCCCCUUCUGACCUGCGCCACUGGUUCCAAGCCUUGGAAACAAGUGAUCGAUGUUGUUUUCAUCAGUGGCGGAGCUUGACCAAAAGUUUCGAGGGGGCGUAAAGUGAUGGGACCGAAUUUUUUUUUUCCUAUCGUUAUGUUUCGGGUCGGGUUAGGUCGGCUAUUCGAUUCAAGUCGGGUCAAAUAAUAAUAGUUCCAAAUAAAACUAACAAAA
rnacentral:lncRNA from 1 species